UACGGGGGGGGCAAGCGUUGUUCGGAAUUACUGGGCGUAAAGAGCGCGUAGGCGGCUUGAUAAGUGUGAUGUGAAAUCUCCAGGGCUUAACCCGGAAACUGCACCGCAGACUGUCAGGCUUGAGGAAUGCAGAGGUAACUGGAAUUCCUGGUGUAGCGGUGAAAUGCGUUGAUAUCAGGAGGAACGCCGGAGGCGAAAGCGAGUGACUGGCGCGUUCCUGACGCUGAGGUGCGAAAGCUAGGGGAGCAAACAGG
rnacentral:rRNA from 1 species